UAGCAUGAGGUAACACAUCUUCGAUCAAGAGCAAAGUUAUGGAUCUCCUCAUUCACCUCAAGAUCGUAAUUUCUUGAGCUGACGCGAAUUCGAUGUAAAAUAUCUUCGGACAUGUUAUCUUUGUAUUUGUUCCACAGGUAAAGUGGGUUCGAUGGGAAGCAUGUUGAAAUGAUGAUUGCAAAUAAUGUGCGUAUCUGACUUGGAGAUGCAGAAAUAAUUUCUUCAGCGAUUGUCGUGUCCCAAUGAGUAUCGUUUUCAAGAAAAUUUAGCUCUUGACAUGCUGCACGAAAUGUGGGGCACACGAUACCAUUAACAGUUCGCAGUGAUUCAAAUGAUGUUGGCCCUCGAACAUGUACCAGCAACAACCGCAAAUAGAAACAUUCAUCAUUCUUCGGAUGAACUGUGUAAAUACGACCAAGAGCAUCAGCAGAACGCAUAUCUGGAUGACCAGGAACUGCAUCGCCUUGCUUCCGACGUUGAAAUUUCUUCGAAGAGCGUUCCAAGUGUAAUAACGUGGCAUUUCUGAGUAAAGCAAAGUUCGUGCGAACGGAUCGCUUGACAAAUCGCAAAGAAACUGGUCAGUGUUGUCGCUGGGGGUGUUUCGGCACAUUGAGCACCAUUCGACGCUGUGGAAUAUACUCUCUGACCGUUCUCUAGAUGCACCCCCAAAUGUAAAACAGUGGGAUGACGUUCGUGAAUAGGGAAUGAAAAUAUACGCCAAAUUGCUUCAUUGCCGUUCACAUAUCUACCAACUUGAUAGCGCGUGAUUUCAUCUUUGGUAUUGGAUGAAACAAAUAAAUAAAGCAAAUAUUAAAUAUGAUUAAAC
rnacentral:lncRNA from 1 species